UCUGGGGGCGGGGCUUCCGGCCUUCUUUUCGCUCGCGGCUGUUCUGACUCGUCUGGGUCUCCCUGACUCCGAAACGCUGGCUCUGGGCCGAGCGACUGUCCUGUUAGGUCCGGGAAGAGUCGUUUUCCGCGUGGCGCAGAGGCGGGCCUGAGGUUCGCCACUCGGCACGGGCUUCCCCGCGCCCGGCCUGGGAUGGAGACCGUGGCGCCCGCGACCCCCUCUUCUCCCGCAGCUCCGCCCGCAGAGCUCGAUGGCGGCGGCCGCGCGGAGGACCCGCCUCAGAGGUCUCCCGUGAGAAGGGCAUUUCCCAGGCAGGACUCCUAGGGCAGAUCCAUCGUUCAUGAAGAGCCACCCCUGUGAAAUGUGUGGCCUCACAGACAAUUGGCACUUGGAUGAGCAGCAGCCAACACAUGACAGGCAGAAACUGCACAGAUUUGUAGAAAUGGAAUUGCUGCAAAAAAGUACUGCAUGUUCAUGCUGGAUAUGACAAGCUUCCUUUUCUACAGUUUGUUCCAGUUUGUACUCAAACCAACAGGAAAUCAUGACCGCAGGGAUGUGGCAUUGUGCUCAGGACGAACGAGGGCAGUCUCUUCCCAGGUCCUGCAGAGGAGCCGUGGAGCCUGCUGUGCACAACUGUUGAGGGAUCAUCCUCAUUCCAGACACGCUGGACUCACAGGACGAGGGGGCAGGACGCUGCAACCGACUGCUGGGCACGUGCCUCUCAGGACAGCAUCCGCCUGACCCGCCACUGUGGCUGGGAAGGAUGAGCAGGUACAGAACUUCUCACAGUCCUCAGGCCUGUGUCCUGGGUCACUGCAGGCCUCCUCAGUGGACAUCAGCCAAAGACACUGUGGGUCACUGCAGCCUGUCUGGCUCUGGCUCUUCCCCUCAGGACCAGUGCUUUACAGGAGGUGUGCAGGAGAAGGAGGGAGAGCUUAGUCCGGCCUGCAUUUACAUGGCACAGCUGGGAACAGCCUCCGCUGCUCCCCAGGACUUGCUGCCCCUGAGGCGAGAGGGAGGCCCUGACUGGAGAGAGAAGGGUAUGUCAGCAUUAGUGUCACCAAAUCUCAUUUCCAGGAAAAAUAAGGAAUUCCAGGUUUUAAAGCUUCGAGAAGGUAUAAAUGACGUGCAGUGAACAUUAGUGUGGUAGGUUCCGACAUUUACAUAAACUCAUGAAGUCUGGAUCACACAACGAAUCUCUUCAUGACCCCAUGUCUACCUUGCGUUUAUUUUUAAUCACUGAAAGAUGGCUGAUUUCCAGUAUCGUGUUAGUUUUAGGUAUACAGGUGACUGUAUAACUGCAAGGUGAUUCCAUAUUUUUGAUUUUGUUCCAUUGCAGGUUAUUACAAGAUACUGAAUAUAGUUGCUGCGCUGUGCAGCAAACCUUUAUCAAGUUAGUAGUUGGUUAUCCGCACUCCUGUUUCCCCUUCUCUCCCUUCCCCUGUGGUAACCACAAGUUUGUUUCCGUGUCUGAGAGUGAUUCUGUUCUGUAAGUGGAUUCACAUGCUGUUAUUUUUGUUGUUGUUGUCUUUUUGCUAUUUCUUGGGCCGCUCCCGCGGCAUAUGGAGGUUCCCAGGCUAGGGGUCGAAUCGGAGCUGUAGCCGCCAGCCUACGCCAGAGCCACAGCAAUGCUGGAUCCGAGCCGCGUCUGCAACCUACACCACAGCUCACGGCAACGCCAGAUUGUUAACCCACUGAGCAAGGGCAGGGACCAAACCCGCAACCUCAUGGUUCCUAGUCGGAUUCGUUAACCACUGCGCCACGAUGGGAACUCCACAUGCUGUUAUUUUUAAGACUCCACGUAUAAUACACAGCACACACUUGUCUUUUUUUGACCCACCUCACCUAGUAUAUUUUCUGGGUCCAUCCAUGAUGCUGCAGGUGGCUGUAUUUCAUGACUUUCUCUGGUGGAGUUGUCGUCUAUUGAAUACGUACACGUGUGUGUGUGUGUGUGUGUGGAUAUUAAGUAUAUACACACUCUAUGGCGUAUACAUGUAUGUAUACACAUCACCUCUUCCUCACCCGUGCAUCUGUUAAUGGACCACAGAUGCGUCCAUGUCUCGGGAAUUGUAAAGAGUGCCACUGUGGACACGGUAUGUCUUUUCCAUACUGUUUUCCAUAGUGGCUGGACUUUCCUUUUCUCCGCACCUUCUCUGGCAAUUACUGUAUGUAGACUUUUGAUGAUGGCCAUGCUGACUGGAGAGGGGUAGUUUUGAUUUGGAGCAUAAUUAGUAAUCCUGAGCAUCUUUUCAUGUGCCUGCUGGCCAUCUGUCUGUCUACCUUGGAGAAAUGUCUCUUUAGGUCUUCUGCCCAUUUUUUGAUUGGUUUUUGUUUGAUACUGAGUUAUGGGAGCUGUUUGUAUAUUUUGGAUACUUUGUAGACUUUAUAAUCUCCUUUCUUCUCCCCUCUAGUCAGCCGCAGAUUUAGUUUCCUUUACAGUAGAAAUAAGGCUGCACUGUCUAGAGUUUUAUGAUUGAAGUCAUAGAGUGUUAACUCCUUCUUCCCCCCGGGCUACCCACAUGCACUGUCUUUAAGAUUCAUUAAGGGAGUUCCCGUUGUGGCGCAGUGCUUAACGAAUCCGACUAGUAUCCCUGGCCCAGCUCUGUGGGUUAAGGAUCCAGUGUUGCCAUGAGCUGCAGUGUAGGUCGCAGGUGCAGCUUGGAUCUGUGUUGCUGUGGCUGUGGUGUAGGCCAGUGGCUACAGCUCCGAUUCAACCCCUAGCCUGGGAACCUCCAUAUGCCACGGGAGCGGCCCAAGAAAUGGCAAAAAGACAAAAAGAAAAAAAAAAAAAAAAAAAGAUUCAUUAAGGAUGUGUACAUGAAUAUGAAUAGUCCUUACAUGAUGCUUAUACGAAGAUGCUUUUCAUAAAGCUGAAAAGUAUGAUGUUCUGUGGAUACACCAUCUUUGUUCUGCUUAAGGACAUCUAAGUUUAGGCUGCUGGGAAUAAAACUCCUACAUAGGGAGUUCCCCUGUGGUGCAGUGGAAACAAAUCUGACUAGUAUCUAUGAGGAUGCGGGUUUGAUCCCUGGCCUUACUCAGUGGGUUGGGGAUCCGGUGUUGCCCUGAGCUGUGGUAUAGGUCGCAGAUGCAGCUUGUAUCCUGUGUGGCUGUGACCAUGGCACAGGCCAGCAGCUGUAGCUCUAAUUAGAUCCCUAGCCUGGGAACUUCCUUAUGCCGUGGGUGUGGCCCUAAAAAGCAAAAAAAAAAAAAAAAUCUAAAACCACUACAUGAAAAAUGUAAUUUCUCAUAUGUCUUUCAUUUAUUCUGUGUUAACAUCAUGGGUUCUAAUAUCUAACAGAGGAGAUAAGUAUAUAACUUUUUAAGAAAUGUCAAACUGAUCUAAGUCAACUUUACUAGCAGUGUGGGAGUUUCAGUUCUUUCACAUCCUUGGCAAUAGUGGGUGUGAUGAGUCCUUUUAACUUCUGAGGCUUUUACAUGAUUUUUUUGUUUGUUUUUAAUGGCUUCGCUUGUUGCAUAUGGCAGUCUCCGGCAGGGAUUAAAGCUGAGCCCCAGCUGUGGCAACACUGGAUCCUUCAGCCCACUGUGCCAGGCCAAAGGUCAAACCUGAACCUUUACAGUGACCUGAGCUUAACCCACUGCGCCACAGCAGGAACCCCCCUUUUAAAAUUUUUGUUUUUAUUUUUAAUUUUUUAAAUUAUGCAGGUUCUCAGGCUAGGGGUCUAAUUAGAGCCGUGGCCUCUGGCCUACACCACAGCCACAGCAACGCAGGAUCUGAGCCACGUCUGCGACCUACACAUAGCUCACGGCAACAACAGAUCCUUAACCCAACUGAGUGAGGCCAGGGAUCGAACCUGCAUCCCUGUAGAUGCUAUUUGGGUUUGUUAACCGCUGGGCCACAAUGGGAACUCCUUAAAUAAUUUUAUAGCAUUAUCCUCACUAUAGUUUUAGUUGCCUUUCACUGAUGUUUCAUGAAGUUGUUAAAGUUUCUAAAUUUUGUUUUGAUUUUUAGGGCUGUACCCCCAGCACAUGGAAGUUUCUGGGUGGGGGAUCUAAUUGGAACUACAGCUGCCAGCCUUCACCACAGCCACAGCAACACGGAAUCCGAGCUGCAUCUGGGACCUACACCACAGCUCACGGCAAUGCCGGAUCCUUAACCCACUGAGUGAGGCCAGGGAUGGAACCCGUGUCCUCAUGGAUACUAGCGGGGUUCUUAACCUGCUGACCCACCAAUAACUCCCUGAACAUUUUAAAGUUUAUUUUCUAUUUUUUAUGUAAAAUAUUCUCAGUCGCUUUUCUUGAAUCUAGAUACUCAACAAUACAGUAAAUCAAGCCA